UAGGGAAUCUUCCGCAAUGGGCGAAAGCCUGACGGAGCAACGCCGCGUGAGUGAAGAAGGAUUUCGGUUCGUAAAGCUCUGUUGUUAGGGAAGAAUGAUUGUGUAGUAACUAUACACAGUAGAGACGGUACCUAACCAGAAAGCCACGGCUAACUACGUGCCAGCAGCCGCGGUAAUACGUAGGUGGCAAGCGUUGUCCGGAAUUAUUGGGCGUAAAGCGCGCGCAGGUGGUUUAAUAAGUCUGAUGUGAAAGCCCACGGCUCAACCGUGGAGGGUCAUUGGAAACUGUUAAACUUGAGUGCAGGAGAGAAAAGUGGAAUUCCUAGUGUAGCGGUGAAAUGCGUAGAGAUUAGGAGGAACACCAGUGGCGAAGGCGGCUUUUUGGCCUGCAACUGACACUGAGGCGCGAAAGCGUGGGGAGCAAACAGGAUUAGAUACCCUGGUAGUCCACGCCGUAAACGAUGAGUGCUAAGUGUUGGUCUCAUAAGAGAUCAGUGCUGCAGCUAACGCAUUAAGCACUCCGCCUGGGGAGUACGACCGCAAGGUUG
rnacentral:rRNA from 1 species